rnacentral:rRNA from 1 species
UACGUAGGGCGCGAGCGUUGUCCGGAUUUAUUGGGCGUAAAGAGCUCGUAGGCGGCUUGUCGCGUCGAAUGUGAAAUCUCAGGGCUCAACUCUGACAUUGCAUUCGAUACGGGCAGGCUAGAGUUCGGUAGGGGAGACUGGAAUUCCUGGUGUAGCGGUGAAAUGCGCAGAUAUCAGGAGGAACACCGAUGGCGAAGGCAGGUCUCUGGGCCGCUACUGACGCUGAGAAGCGAAAGCAUGGGGAGCGAACAGG